CCGCGUUUCAUGGAGAGUCUUAAGUUAGUCCUAGGUCCUAGGACCUAGGACCAAAAUAAGGAUGGAAUAGGAUUGCACUUAAGACCGUUUCAAUAAACAAUCUUAUCUUUAGUCACAGACUUAGUCCUAACUUUUGACUUAGGACCAAAUUGUACUCUCGAAUUGAAGUUAAAAAAUAUAGCGCACGCGCUGUUUGCCGCAAUAUGUCAUUCGUCUGCGACAAAAUAAGGGAAGCGCCGCAGGAAAGCUACAGAACAGAUCGGACUCUGAAUACCUUGUUCUUACAGAGGCUGUAAAGAUCUUUCUCCCAGUAAGAAGGAAAAACAUGCUCCUUUUGUUACCAAUAGCGCUUAAUGGAGUGUCUGGGAGUCGGUGGUUGAUCGGUAACUUUUGACAUUUCUGUGUUAAUUUUUCUUUCGUAUAGACUUUAGUCAUAUUUAACAAGGGAAGCAACUAGAUUUUGAAAAAAGCGGAAAUAUUUUUAUGAUGUUCAAUUCCGGAGGAAAAUCAGAUUUAAUUAAGAGUUGGCUGCAUGAUGUGUCAGUCAUGUAACGGCAUAUUCAUCUAUGUGCAGAAGUGAUGGCUGGAUACAGAAUUAUUUAUUAGUUGGACAACAGUGAAUACAGGUCACAGCAUGCUGAUAGAGAUCCUCAGCUCAUAUGGUAGCCAGGGUUUAGCAGUGAGCUGACUCAAAGAUGCCAUUUAGUGAUUUAAUGUGGAUAAUCCAUUCAGAUCAUUCACCAAUGAUGUACAACACUGAUGGAACUGAAGGCAAUACUUGCACUGACAGUCAGGGCUGGUUAUUUAAAGUAUAUAUAAUUAGAUGUACCUCCUGAUGUACCUCCUUAAAUACGAGAUUUCUGCCAUGUGAAAGGAGCAAGUUGAAAGAAGCACUGUUGGAGAUGGGGUCCAUGAACCUUAUGUAUACAGCUAUAUGAACAAGGGCUGGAACAAAGCAGACAAGACUGGACUUUUAAUUGUUAAUGAAUAUUUUAAGUUUUAUUGUAUGUCACCAGUAUAAUAGGGUUAUUAUAAAAGUAGUUAGAUCUUGGAUGUGGUAUUUGGCUUGGAGUGCAUUUUGCCAGACCUGGAACACACGAGGCCUGCAAGCGCAAAGUCUGACCCGCUGUGGUAAAAUCGCCAAAGGCCUAAUACAACCUCCCAGAUCAAGCUACUGUUAUAAUCGUACUUUAAUUCUUUAUCUCCAUGUACUAAAAAUCAUUUCACAAAAAUACCCUAGCGUUACAGGCGAUAUAUUAAAUUUGGUACGCCUUUAAAGUUUAAAUUGAUGUUGUUGUUCUUGUUUAUACACAAUUGAUUACCGUGCCUUGUUUACAUGUGGGAUUUAUUGUUUGAAAAUGAAAUAAAAAUGUUUAAAAUGAAAAAGAAAAUGUCUAUCAAAAGCUUGCACUUUUAUGUUAAGGGAGUAGUGACAGGAAAUUUUCCAUUUUUUGUAGCUCAACCUGAUCACAAAGUGCUCAGGGGUGAGUAAUUGUUGUCACUCAUUGCAUGUCUAUCCGCCCGUCCAUACUUUUCUUAACCUACAUCUCUUAAAUCAUUUGGUGGCAGGCAGAUGAUGAAACUUGGCUUGGAUGUCCUCUGGAUAUUCCUGCCUUUCCCUAGGGAAAAACCUUGUCUAAAGUACUGUAACUAUUAUGACGUCAUAAACUAUAUAAGUUUCGUCAGGAAAACACAGA